rnacentral:rRNA from 1 species
GACGUAGGGCGCGAGCGUUGUCCGGAUUUAUUGGGCGUAAAGCGCGUGUAGGCGGCUUUGCAAGUCGGGUGUGAAAGCCCUCAGCUCAACUGAGGAAGUGCGCCCGAAACUGCAGAGCUUGAGUGCCGGAGAGGGUGGCGGAAUUCCCCAAGUAGAGGUGAAAUUCGUAGAUAUGGGGAGGAACACCGGUGGCGAAGGCGGCCACCUGGACGGUAACUGACGCUGAGACGCGAAAGCGUGGGGAGCAAACAGG